AAUUUGUGGGGUUUAGAGUCAACAGGUAUGGAGAAGCAGCGAACAGUCAACACCAGCGUCCUCUCCAGCCUGAAUGGAGCCUAAAAAAGACACACUCCAAACAAUUUGGCUGUCCACUAGGUGAUGUAAAGUGGAUGUUAUAUGUUUGAAAACCGCCAAAAUGAGACAGAUCAAACAGAGAGAAAAAAGGGGGACCUUCCCUUUACCCUCACUGACACUGUCGUUCCUCCUGCUCCUGUCACAAUUUCUUUGACAUCCACCUGAAGCUGUUUGCCCCAACAUGCAAACACCUGUGACCUGUGUGAACCUGCAGAUGCCUGAAGCUGCAGACCGAGGACUGGCUUUCUCCAGGGACUCACACUGAGGAGGUGCCUUUUUAGACAACAACAUUUCAUCAUUCAGAAAUACUGCAUACAUUUUACGAUACGAUACUUUACAAUACUGAAAUCAUUCUAUGUAUCCUACUUUAUACCAACAUUAAUUAUAUAAUCCCUCCAAAUCUAUGGGUGUAUGUUUUGGUACAUUUAUUCUUUUCUGCACAUGAGACAAUAACUUUUUUCAGGUUGGAGAAAAACUCAAUCCAAAAAGACAAUCUCACCUAUCUCUCCAUGCUUCAAUGUGAGGACAUGUGAGCAUGAAAAUCGGUCUCUAGGACUUUAAUUUAGUGCGUCAAAAACUGUCUGUUUAAGAGACUGUUUUAAAGACCUGCCCUUACUCUGGCCUAAACUGGGCUUUUAAAAAUGGUGUUAACAUAUUGGUCCAAUUCCUGUAGUCAUGUAGGUCUAAUUCCUUGUAGUCACAAUGGCAUUCUUAAAUAGUGCAGUUGGAGAUCGAUAUUGACUUUCAUAAAAAACACUGCAAUCAGACUAAAACUGUCUAUGGAGCAUGUUCUGGUCAUGCUCCAUAUCUAGCACACUGAGCGAAGUUAAACAGUGGAAAAGUGUCGGUGUUACUGGUGUUGACAAUAUGUUUUUUUGUUGUUAAGAAAAUGAAACAUCAAUAUUGUGCAAACAAUAAGCAUACAGUAAUAUAGUAUAGAAUUUAUAGUAGUGAACCUUGCUGGUUGCCACAUCUCAUAAAGCAGUAGAGAAAUGAAGAGGAAGCAGCAGCUAGUAGUGAGGUAGCUGUUGCACCCCUCUAAGAUGAUCAGACACUAUGAAAAACUGACAUAUUUAUUAUGAAUCCAAAAACGAUGUCCUCUUCAGCUAACUAAUAAAUCAAAUGUUUUAAACUUACAAUUUUUUUCUUAAAAUCCUAUCAUUCUGAUCUAAUGUACAUGUAGAAUCCUAUCAUUCUGAGCUAAUGUACAACCUGCAGACACUAGCUGAUACUUUAAAAUGUAAGUACAUUUUGACAACGCAGGAAAUACAACAAGCUGAACACAAGGCAGAAAAAAAACAUCAAAAUAAGAGCAUGAUGAAUAAUUGUUGAAUGAGGGAAUGUUCCCUCCAAAGAAGUUUCAGUCACAGAGCUGGUGAUGUGGAUAAAUCAAUAAUUUGAAUGUUAAUAGAAAUAGUAAGUGAACUGUGUUUAUUGGUACAGUUUAUGAAGUGAUGUGCUGCUCCAAUCCUUUCUUGCCUUUCCUCAUUCUGACUGAAUAUAUAGUUUAUUUCAAGUUUUCAAUAAAUAUUGUGAAUAUAUUUUAAUAUUUUAUGGCCAUGAUAAUUUGACACUGUGACAGCUCUAAGAGGGAGUAGCUAUAACCAUAGUUGCUCUUUACUGCGUAUGUAGUGAGUGUGGCUUCAAAAAAGAUACUUCAGACUGUGACGCCUGGUAGAAAUAACUGAUAAACAAAUAAAAGCUUUGAGUGUAGGUUAUACACCUUAUUUCAUGAUGCAUUGCACAUACACCUACUUGAAAUAACAGCAGUUUUAUUUGUGUGCCUUUAAAGAUCUCAAGCUGUGUCCAUCAUCCAGUGAAGAGAGACGGCUGAAGUAAUGCUGCUCCCUCCAGUCACUACUUAGUUCAACCAAAAGCUGAACAAACAAAAGAUGGAUGAAUGAUUAUAAAUGUUUCAAUUUCCAAAAGAAGUCGAAAUCCAACGAAAAAAGACUUACAGAUGAAGAUAAAGCAACAAACCCUCAGUAAAGAUGAUGUUUGGCCGAGGUCAGAAAUACACCUGCAAUAACUGUGUACUGAACCAAAUACACUCUCCCAGAUAGGCUCUUUAUUGUUUCCCUUUUUCAGCAGCUUUUUAAGUAAUAUCACUUCCCAGGAGCUGCAGACGUAUGAGACUUCGUGUUUGGACAAGAGAGGACCGAAGGGUUGUUGUAACAACAGCAGGACAAAACAUGACAUCUUAUUGUCUACAGUCAACAUACCAGAGGAAAAUAACCAUUGGAGACCGAUCUUUAAAAGUUUUUUAGUAAUGACACAAACUGGAAUCAACUUUAUUGUGUCUGUGGAUUAAAGCUACUGUGAGGAGUUCUUUAAUGGGUCAUUAAACAGACUGAAUUUUACAGUGGUGUCCAUAAAGUUGAACAAGACCAGCAGCAACAAGACUGUCAAACACUAAACAGUCAUUUUAAAAAUCAGUAACCACCGUUAGGGGGUCUUUGCUGCACACUUAUCAGCCAUUUUUCAGGCUUUAGUCCAUAGGGGCGCCAAAAUCACAUUUAACUAAAACUUUCUGACAAGAGCUUUUAAUAACAUGUUUAAAAACUUUGGGUAAAAGUGCUUUUAAAUACAUUCAUGACCUGUGACCCAGCUGGCCUUUUUCCUAAUAUAAAGGGCUGAUUUGCUCAUCUAAAUGGACAUUACCGUCUAUCAAUAAAAUACAAGAAUACUGUAAAUCUAAAUGUUUGCCUGACGAUUUUGGCAGUCUUUUCGAUUUCUUCAGAAUGAGUGAUAGUUUCUUUCAGCUGAAUGACACUGUACUUUCUCAUCUACACUGUGCAUGUGCUUGUGGCAUAUCAGCCCCUUUAAAAUCUUAAAUGAGAUCUAAACUCAUGAAGGUAUUUCAGACGUAUUUAAGUAUUUAUGAAGAAUUUAGUUUGAUUACACAUAAAUAGAAAAUAGCUUCAGUGAAUUGACCUUAUUUUGUUGCUCUUAAUGGUCCUUGUUAUGGCUUUACGUAAGCAGCAGAGACCAGGGCCUGAUCCUUAACUUCAGUGAUGUUAUCAAACACACAUGUGCCGCCCAGGUUUGAUGGGUUCGCCAUGCCUUUCGAGCCCCGGGGGGAGAUAAAGAAAGGAAAACCACACAGAAAGCAGAGGGAUAGUGGACACUUAAACAAAGAUACAUGCAGCAAGAUUGUCACCUAACUUCUUUUUUUUUUUUUUUUACCCUGCAUGGUUUGCUUUGCUUCAUGGGAAUUAUCACCAUGACCUGACUCCACCACUGGCCAAUCAGAUUGCAUGGCUGAAACAACCCACUGUAUAAUUGCAUUAUAUAUUAUGACUGGUGGAGGAUCAGUCCUCGCCUGGCCAGGCCUAACUAUCCACCUCCUCGCCUUCUCUCUUCAUGCUCUGUGGGCAGACUUGUAGAUAGCCCAGAUAGAGGGAUAUGACAUUUAUUCAGCCCUUGGUAUCAGGCCAUUAUAAAUAGAAUUAUGUCACAGACAACUGUGCACUAUCUGAUUCUGAGUAAUGGUAAAAAAUCCCCUCCCACGUAUGCUGAUGCUGUUUUUGCAGCUUGUGUUGGGAGAGACACAGCAGACAGGCCAAGUUCAGAGCUUGAGAAAAGGGAGUAGGCAAGGUGAGAAGCUGAUGUUUGAGAAAAAUAUCAGAAGACAUGCACUAAUGUUUCAGUUUUGCAUAGUGGAAGUGCCCUGCUCCAUGUUUAGGUUCAGGGAAUACUCUUAUGGUCAGGGUGGAACUGAAAGUUCACUGCAAACAUUGUAGAGUGGUGAAUAGUCAUCAAUUUAACACAGGGUCAGUGAUCUCCUGCAGCAUAGUAAUUUUCUAAGAAUAGAGGAAAAACAUUUAGAUUAGAAACCAGAUCACUGGGCAGGUUUACUGAGCCAGCUUACUGUGCCUAGGGAGUGGUUUCAUCAGGACCUUAAGCAUUCUCAAAGGUCUGCAACUACAGCGCUGUAUAAAAAUAAACCUGUUCAAUGUAAUUUUGCAUUUGACUUCAUUAGUGUGAUCCUAGUAUUCCUAUUAAGAUCCCUCCUGCACAGUGUUUUAAAGACAGAGGUCACACAAAGCUGAAAACCACAGGUUAGAUCUUUUGAGGUGGGGGAGGUGAGCUUUGCUACACCUGUAACUGCAUCUAAUGAUGAUGUCAUCAAUAUGAGGCCAAGUAAUCAUAGGUCAUAACCCCAGAGUUGCAAAAACGUGAAACAAACCUAGAACAGGUUCAACUCACCUUAUUAGUCGGGACAACCCUUACCAAAAAGAAGUAUGUUGCAGUGUACUUCAAGUAUUCUGUGUUUAAUCUAAGUGUGCUCUCAGUUUACUUUUUAUGCACUUUUCAGAGAUAUACUUAACAAAGUUAAUGUUACUUAUACUUGGUUUGUACUGAGAAGUACUCUCAAAGUCUAAAUAUAUUUAAUUAUACUUAUACAUCAACUUUUGAUCAAGAUAUACUUAAGUAUGUGUUUGUGCCUAAGGUUUAAGUAAACUUGGUCAGUGAAUACUUCCAUGUAUCAUAUAGUCUUAUAGAAUAUACUCUUAAAAACAUAAGCGUUACAAGCCAGGAAUAGAAAUAUGUACUAUUAUUGAAAUAAUAGCAUACCAAAACAGUAACUUUUAUAAACUAAUAAGUGGACUAGAAGUUAAUUACUAGUAAACUAAUAGUAUACGAAAAAGUUAAUUUCAAGUAUGCUUCAAGUGUACUUUUAUAAACUUAAAUUGGGCCAAUAUAGUCCCAAGAAGUUUACUUGUAAGUACACUGAUAGUAUAUUUGUAUCAGUGUACUUUGGGAGGUAUACUAAAAGGAAUUUCAGUAUACUUCGUCAAAUGUACUUAUACUUAUUUUUUGUAGGGGAAAUGUGAUUUUGUAGUCUGGCCAACUAGUGUGAUCAGCUGACUAUUUUGUUUAGUUUUGUUUGAUGCUUUGUUUGGAAUUUUAAUGACAGAUUCUGUUGAUGAUCAACCCCCCCACCCCCCAUACUCUGACAGUGUCGAUAGAGGGAGUGAAAGGUGAAACAUAAAGUAAGUAAUCCAUGCUGGAGUAUAGUUUGAUCGAGGAUAUUGGUGUACAGGAAUACAUCUUUCAAAAAAAAAAAUUACAUACAAUAGAUAUGACACAACACAACACAAUAAGAUGCAAGAUACAACCCAAAAAGACAUAAUAUAAUAUGAUAUCAUACAUGAUGGGAUGCAACAUGAGGCGAAACAACACAAUCCAGCACAUUACAAUGCCAUAAGACUCAGUUUAUUGACCUCUUUGGUAAAUUUGUCUUGAACUCAAGAGUUGCACUUGCUCAAAUGCAUCCUCAUCAGAUAAAACAAAUGGACAAGUGAACGUUAAAAAAUACAAAAUUCCCCAUGCAAACACAGAAAACAAACCAAGGAGACCACAAACACACAAGCAACUAAAUAAGAAAAAGAAAAGAAAAAAUACGAACAAUAUCAUGACAUAAUUGAACAAGCCUUAAAGUCUCAAAAUCUUGAAUGAAGUUUCAUAUUAGAGUCUCAAUGCUCACCCAAUUGUUACAGCUCACAGACAUGCAUGCACGCACGCACACACACACACACACACGCACGCACGCACGCACGCACGCACACACACACACACACACACACACACACACACACACACACACACACACACACACACACACUUGGCAGUUUGCUCUUUUGCAAUUUGAACUUUGCAUGUCUGUCUCGGGGGUUUAGCAUGUGCUGUGUUGGCCAUCUCUGCUCUCGACACACUUGAAGAACUGAAGUGUUUCCUCCUGUGUUUUGUGUCCUCAGUGUGUGGGAUCAGUGACAUCUACAUGUCUGACAAUCAAUCAAUCAAUCAAUCAAACUUUAUUUAUAUAGCACCUUUCAUGCUUUUAAGCUGCAACACAAGGUGCUUUACAAAAAGGUAAAAACAAACAACGGUAAAAAACACACAACAGGCAAUUAAAUAGGCAUAAAAUCCGUCCCUUCCCACCCACAGCAGCACAUACAGGCAUGCACAGCAGCCCCCCCACACACACACACAUACACGACAAGGUUUGAAAAUCAUUAUCUGGUCCCGGAUUUGUUUUAUCUCAUUGAUUUAUACUAUUUUAUCUACUUGGCUUAUGCUGAAUGAUCAUUUAAGGGCAGGGGGAGCGCCUUCUGAUUUCCUCAUCUUAAAAGGGUGAAAAUAAGAGAAAUGACAGCAUGUUUAAGCUUUCAUUUCAAGAAACCAUGAUUCAUAAUACUCAAAAGCCAGGAGUAAGUCAAUAACAGUCCUGUGAUAAAUAACCCUGUCCUGGGUAAGAGGAUCUGAGGGGGAAUUUUCCUAGGAGAGCUGGAUUGAAGCAAAUGAUCAGAGGAGGACGUCAGCCAACAGAGGGCUGAGGAAGAGGAUGGUUAUGAUGAUGCAACUAAAUCUCUGUUUUUAAGUCUUUGCUCAGAGACUUGGCCUAAUCAACAAUCAGUCUCAGACUAGUCUGAGUAAACAGGCCCACAAGACAAUAUUUGUCCUUUAACUGCAGAUAUCAAUAAAAUAACAGAGUUAACAUCCUCCUGACCUCAGUGCUGACCAGAGGAUAGCCCACUCACUUCUGCAUAACACACACACGCACAAACAUGGAUAAAACAGGGAUGUAGUGAUAAAGCCAAAGUUAGUUAACAGGAACUAUAAAUCCUAAAUAUUUCUCUCAUCCUCUGUUUUAAGCCAGCUAACUAAACUGUCAGACCACUGGGAAAAAAACAAAACAACAACAACAACAACAAAAAAAAACAUGAUUCUGGAGUGUGCAUGGCACAUACUCCGAGUCUGAGGACAGUGAGUUAUCCCAGGACAUGCCAGGUUCAAGACAUCACUGUGUUUUGUCUCCGCUCUGUCUGAACAUCCUGAACCCACAUAUCUGCAUGAAGCAGAAAACUUCACAGAAAAGCUGAAAAUGUAUCUAAACUGUGUUACAUGAAUAAAAACGAUUAAGACUCAAUAACUCGACUAACCUGUUUCCCAUGUUUGUGAGGGUGUGGUAUCAUGGCUUUUCUCUGGCUAGGAUAAGGAUGUAAUAUGACACAAGAAAGAUAAGAUAAAGUAAGAUGUAUUUUUUGCUCCUCUGAAUCAGGGCAUGUCUGACCCUUUUUGUUGGUUAAGCAGCACAAAAUCUGUUCAAUAAGUGAGAUACAGGAUAGAAGGAGAAUGAAGCUGAUAACAUGAACCACACCAGUCAGAGUGUAAGCUCUCAUCCCAUUUAACAGACAGGUGCACCUGCAGACAGGCAUAUUACCAUGGCAGAUUUGAACCUUUCUACUUAUAAUCAUCACACCGUUAUGCUUGCACACUGAACUCUACAACAGCAUCAUUUUGGUGUAGUCCCACAUGCACAUACACAGACUCACACAUUGUAGGUAAUUGAUGUACAUCUGCUGACACAAAGCUGACACUCUCCUUGAAGGUAUUGUGUUUAACAUUGUUUGGUUGAGUGACAGUCAGUGAUCAUUUCUGUCCAUCUAAAAUAUUCUUCUUGGGAUACAACUGAACAGGACAGAAAAGUAUCAGAGGAACAAAGGUUCCUUCUGUUCAUAUUUCAGUAAAAGUUGACCAGUCUGAUGAUUCAUAAUUGAGCAGAGGUCUGUGAGUGGACAUCUGCUUAUUUUCAGAGGCUGCAGGUCAAAAACUCAAUUCCUUCCACUUUGAAUGUCACUUCUUUUACCGUUUUAAACUCGUGCUCACUCAUGUGUUGUUAUAGUAAGGAAAAUAUUUAUGUUUUCCAACACAGAGUGAGCCAGUAGGACGGUGAGGCCAGCAACAAGAAAACAGGACGUCUGUUUUAUGUUUUACACCUAGACACAUUUCUUUUACAUGUUACUUUGACUGAAAAACUGAAUCAUAAGUGGACAAAUGCCAUAAACACAAACUUAUUUUAGGCCCAUUUUUCAUCACAGCACAGUCACAAUUACUGUGUUGAUACCUCCUUUAGAGGAAGAUUGAUGAAAACGAUGAACCAUAUUCGAUCAAUGACAAAGUAACAAAAGAAACCUCCCUAACAGCAGUGUUUGUUUGGUCAAUAUUGGGUUACAGAGUAUUUCUGGGAUCUAUCAUGAUCCUCUCAUUCAGGCGGGUCACAUGUCUCCUGAGUCUUAGACACUUCAGUCUCUGAUCUCUUGCUCUUACGAAAGUUUUUUUUUUAAUUAUUUAUUCUCUCAUCCAGCAGAGUCCUAGUCCAAAGUGGCUGCACACUGCAGUGGGAGAUGAACUGAUUAUGUAUCAAGGAAGACCUGAUAAUUCCAGCUCACACUCAAGCAAAUCCAGGGUCUGUCCGUCUGAAAUCAACAGAGUUAUUAUUUUCAGUCAUACACUCAUUCACAGAUAUUUGACAUUUUAUGUUUCUUAGUAGAAAUUACACACUGUGAAGCUUGAAAAAAAUUAAAAAUAAAAAAAUAUCUUCAGAGUGUCCAUCACUGAGUGUCUUCCAUCCAUCUGAAGGCUCAAUUCCAUCAAUUGAGCCUUCAGAUCUAAAACCUGCUCCUGUCACUAUGUGCUCCUGAUGGCUGAGUUGACCGCAGUCUUGGCCCUGCUGUCUCAUUAUUUCUGAAUGGCAGAGCCAACUCUAGGCUGGAGCCACAGAGGAGGAACAAUUAAAGGCCUGCAGAGGACCAGAAGUGGAGGCGAAAAUUUGCUUUGGGCCGAACUUUACAGCCACAGAGGAAACGGCUCUUGUAGCUACAAUCCUCUGACCAAGAAAAACAAUCCAUCCAUCAUAAUUACUAGUUCUUUGGUAUUUCUUUUCAUGAUUUUGCAUGGUUUUGAUAGCAAGGACAGACUGAUUAGAGUGAGUGAGCUGACCAAAACGACAUCACACAGUGCCACAGUUACUUUGAUGUAACUGUAUCAUCAGUGAGAGGGUCUGAAACUAUGGACAAACUCAAAGGUUUACAUUAGGUCACAGCUUUGGAUCAGUUCAACCUCAUCAUUGAGAAGUUUUCAACACACUUAAUACAACAAUACCAAUGAGCUGUAUCAAAGCCAAGACCAGAUUCAGCAUGUCUCAUCCAGGACUAAUUUCCAGCCUCUGCCUUAAAGCUCCUGUGAGAAGCAUACACAGAAAUGACAAGGGGGACAGGGAGGAUGGGGGGCAGACCUCCCCAAUCCUGGAAAAUUAGAGAAAUGCAUUGUCUGCAGGUAGGCUGCACGUUACAGAAAGUAUUCAUCAUCCUGUUGACUAGGAGACAAAAGAGAGUGAAAAUUAAAACUUUAGACAGAGACUGUCUCUGUUUGUUUCUGUGUCCUCUGACACUGUAAUAUAAGAUCACAGAGAGAUUCAAACACACUGAAUUAGUAAAUCCCUCAUGAGUCUUCACAGUGGUGUACAUAAGGGUUCAACUAAUUUAAAAAAAGCAAAUCAAAUCAAACACUCCCUCUCUUCAACCCUCCACUGCUGUGUGGCUCUCAGUAAAUCUGCUCACUCUUCAAUCCACAGAGAACAUUUACAUUCCCCAAAGCUGACUCUCAGUUUGGGGUUUAACAUGUUUUUUACUGACAACAAAAACUGGAAUCUGCUUGUCCUUCAGGGACGUGUGUGUGUCUGUAUGUGUCAUAGGCUGCUGUUUGAGAGG
rnacentral:lncRNA from 1 species